UGAGGCCAGUAAAGAUCACAAGGCAA
rnacentral:piRNA from 1 species